AAAGGGCCGCGGUAGCCUGACCGUGCGAAGGUAGCAUAAUCAUUUGUCUUUUAAUUGAGGGCUGGAAUGAAUGGUUGGAUGAGGGACUAACUGUCUUUUAAAUAAUUAUUGAAUUUUACUUUUAAGUUAAAAGGCUUAAAUUUUGUUAAGUGAAGAUAAGACCCUAUAAAACUUAUAUAGAGGGGAGCUUCGGUCCCAUCUAAUACAGUUUAUGGUGGGCGUGGUUUAUCUUAUAUUUGGUUGGGGCGACAGGAAUAGAAUUGGAGUAUCUGUUAUUUUUAAUGAAUUAGAUAUUUUUAAGUGGUGAUCCUUUUUUAGGGAUUAAAAGAUUAAGUUACUUUAGGGAUAACAGCGUAAUUUUCUUUGAGAGACCUAAUCGACAAGAGUAGUUGCGACCUCGAUGUUGAAUUAAAGUUUUCUACCAGGGGUAGGAGUCUGGUUAGAUAAGUCUGUUCGACUUUUAGAGCUUUACAUGAUUU
rnacentral:rRNA from 1 species